UUUCCGUAGGUGAACCUGCGGAAGGAUCAUUAUCCAUCUUCAACCAGGUGCGGUCGCGGCCUCCAGGCAACUGGGUGGUUUCGCGCCGCAUUCCUGCAUCCUUUUUUUACGAGCACCUUUCGUUCUCCUUCGGCGGGGCGACCCGCCGCUGGAACCACAUCAAAACCUUUUUGCAUACAGCAUUACCUGUUCCGAUACCUAUAAUCGUUACAACUUUCAACAAUGGAUCUCUUGGCUCUGGCAUCGAUGAAGAACGCAGC
rnacentral:misc_RNA from 1 species